rnacentral:lncRNA from 1 species
GGAAACAACAUAUAUUAAUUAAACAACAUGCCUAAGCCUAACAAAAGCAUAAGAUAUGCUGAUGAAAGACAAACCAUGAACAUACAUCAUUAUUGAAAUUUGGAUGGAGAUUAAGAAACCCAAUUAUUUUAGUCGGAAACAAAGACCGCUACUUAUUUAAAGUAGUACAUAAAUGCAUAAUAUCGAUAUUAAGCAGGAAGAGACAUCUUCAAGAAGUCUUUUUCGAAUUUCAAGCUAGAGGCCAUCUUGAAUGCGUUUACUGCUUCAGAGACAGAGGGGAAACACAAGCCAUAUUGAAGAUUAGGAAAACGAGCACAAUAAUUGCCACUACCCUUUUUUGUGCAUUCAGCAUGAGACCAACAUAACUUAGGUGGUUCCUCAACCUUCUUCUUAAGCUCUGCAUAUGAACGAGGAUCAUAACAUUCAUACAUAGGAACAACUGGAUGCCAAGUUAACGCGCAGACACAAUCGCCAUUACAUCCAUAAUCCGGAUUGCAAGGAACACGGAAACAAAAUGCUGCUUCAACUUUCUUCAUUGGGAAUAUCACUAAUGCGGCAAGCAUAAAGACAGCAAAAGGAGCAAGCUUAACAUAAGUCAUUGUUCUAUCAAAAGAAAGAACCAGCUACAAAAUACUAUUGUUUGUUAAUUAU